rnacentral:rRNA from 1 species
AUUGAACGCUGGCGGCAGGCCUAACACAUGCAAGUCGAACGAGUGGCGGACGGGUGAGUAAUGUCUGGGAAACUGCCUGAUGGAGGGGGAUAACUACUGGAAACGGUAGCUAAUACCGCAUACCAUCGGAUGUGCCCAGAUGGGAUUAGCUAGUAGGUGGGGUAACGGCUCCCCUAGGCGACGAUCCCUAGCUGGUCUGAGAGGAUGAACGGCCACACGGGAACUGAGACACGGUCCGUACUCCUACGGGAGGAAGCAGUGGGGAAUAUUGCAAAAUGGGCGCAAGCCUGAUGCAGCCAUGCCGCGUGUAUGAAGAAGGCCUUCGGGGUGUAAAGUACUUUCAGCGGGGAGGCGUUACCCGCAGAAGAAGCACCGGCUAACUCCGUGCCAGCAGCCGCGGUAAUAC